CAUGUCAGAUCUUGAUAAUAGAAAGUCUACAUUAGGGUAUAUGUUCAUUUGCAAUGGUGGUGCAGUCAGCUAGAAGUAUUCUAAACAAAGCAUCAUCAUAAAUUUGAUCAUAGAGGCUAGUAUGUCGCUGCUUUGAAUGCUACAAAAGAAGGAUUCUGGUUUAAAAAGUUUAUCACAAAAUUUGAUGCAAUGACAUCAAAUGCUAUACC
rnacentral:lncRNA from 1 species